CCUACGGGCGGCAGCAGUGAGGAAUAUUGGUCAAUGGGCGCGAGCCUGAACCAGCCAAGUAGCGUGAAGGAUGACUGCCCUACGGGUUGUAAACUUCUUUUAUACGGGAAUAAAGUGAGUCACGUGUGCCUCUUUGUAUGUACUUUAUGAAUAAGGAUCGGCUAACUCCGUGCCAGCAGCCGCGGUAAUACGGAGGAUCCGAGCGUUAUCCGGAUUUAUUGGGUUUAAAGGGAGCGUAGAUGGGAUGUUAAGCAAGGUGUGAAAGUUUGCGGCUCAACCGGGAAAUUGCAGUUGAUACUGGCGGGCUUGAGUACGGUGGAGGUAGGCGGAAUUCGUGGUGUAGCGGUGAAAUGCUUAGAUAUCACGAAGAACUCCGAUUGCGAAGGCAGCUUACUAAACUGGCACUGACAUUGAUGCUCGAAAGCGUGGGUAUCAAACAGGAUUAGAUACCCGUGUAGUC
rnacentral:rRNA from 1 species